CGCGCUCGCAGCCCCCUCCCCGCGGUCGGACCCCGGGCCCGGCGCUUCCUGCGCCGCGGGUUCUCGUCCCUCCCCGCCCAGGGCGCAGCUGGGGAUUGGCAGAGCCCAGCCCCUGGCUGACUCAGGCGCCGCAACCUGCCCUUAAAUGCUCGCGCCGAGGCGGGGGCGGGGGGGAACCGGCCCGGCCGCGCAGGAAGCAGCUGCAGCCCCAGGACCGCGGCGCUGAGCAUGGCCAGGCUGCCCCAGCAUCUCCUCCCGCUGCUGCUGCUGCUCUGGGGCUGCCUCUGCCCGGCCUCCCACGCCGGCCUCCACUUCAGGGAGGGGCAGCGCUGCUACAAACCGGCCCCGCGCCGGCCGCCCGGGCUCAGAACCUACCCUCGACCUCACGAGUACCUGGACAUCGCUAAACUUCCCCCGAGCUGGGAUUGGCGAAAUGUAAACGGGACCAAUUUUGCCAGUACCACUCGGAACCAGCACAUUCCUCAGUACUGUGGGUCUUGUUGGGCUCAUGGCAGCACCAGUGCCUUAGCAGAUCGCAUCAACAUUAAGAGAAAAGGUGCUUGGCCUUCUGCCUACCUCUCUGUUCAGAAUGUUAUUGACUGUGCCAACGCAGGGUCCUGCGAAGGUGGAGACCACACAGGUGUUUGGAUGUACGCUCACAACCAUGGCAUUCCAGAUGAGACCUGUAACAACUACCAAGCCAAAGACCAAACAUGCAAGAAGUUUAACCAGUGUGGAACAUGUGUUACCUUUGGGGAAUGCCACGUGAUAAAGAACUACACCCUCUGGAAAAUUGCUGACUAUGGCUCGGUCAGUGGGAGGGAAAAAAUGAUGGCAGAAAUCUAUGCCAAUGGUCCAAUCAGUUGUGGCAUAAUGGCUACUGCACAGCUGGAUGCGUACACUGGAGGACUUUAUGCUGAAUACAACCCCUCUCCUAUGGUGAAUCACAUUAUAUCUGUGGCUGGCUGGGGUGUGGAAAAUGGAACUGAAUACUGGAUUGUCCGCAACUCCUGGGGCGAACCAUGGGGUGAACUGGGCUGGCUGAGGAUUGUGACAAGCGCAUAUAAAGGUGGAAAAGGAGCUGAUUACAAUCUCGCUAUUGAAGAGGAUUGUGCCUACGGGGAUCCUGUAUUACCUUGAUUGUCUCUAGGGUUUAUGGGGUACUUUCUGGCUUUGAAAUUUUAUUCCCCCCCUCAUCAAGGGUUUUUUUUUUAAUUAAAAGGCAGUUUAACUAUUCUGUAGUAAAGAAUGACCAGGCAGUUAAGAGGAAUUAGCUCAGAUCACCAUAAUGUUUUAGAAGUGGAAAAACUGCCUCUAAAUUUUUAACUUGCACUGCAUAUUUAAAAGCAGCUGUUAAGACAAAUUUGCUUAUCCUCUGCUUUAUGUACCUGGUACUUACCAAGCAACUUAUCAGAAGUUAUAAGUACAAAUGCUCUCAUUGGAAAAAUUAUUCUCUCUUGUCAAUAUUUAAUCUGAAGGAAUAUAUAAGAUUUGUUUUACACUUGUAACAAAGGAGGUUUUCCUUCUAGUACAAACUUUAAAGUUUGCUCUAAGCAAGAGAGACUGAUUUCUUUUAAAAAUUUGGGUUUAGACUUGUAAAUUAUAUACACAAAGUAAAUAUCACUGAGCUACAUAAAUACAGAAAUCGUUUUUUGUUCUCUAUUUUAAAACUGUGUCCUAUAGUCACAUUCUAUUGUUUCACUAAGGCAUGUGUUGCACUGCAGAUUGUCAUUUUUAUCUGAUUGAAAGUGAUGCAACAGUAACCAAAUCUCUUUAAAACUACCGGAAAAUGUUUAAUAUAAGCACUGAUUGUGAUUGCCUGAUGCUUUCUUUACUUUACUUCUAGGCUUUGGUAUUUGAAUGGCUGUGCUAUUUGUCUGUACAAGGACAGGUUUUUUUAAAGGGGGGAGGGGAGAAAUGGGAAUAGGGUUCUAAUGACAUAGCUUUUAACAUGUGCCUUUACCAUACAAGGAAAGAUGGUAUGUUAUCUUCCUCUUUCCUGCUUACUCAACCUCAUGUGCCUAGUUCCCUAAUGGUGUAAAUUACAACCCAAACCAUAUCAAAGAUUAACUAAAUCACAGUUGUUAAAUUGACAUUGUUUCUUAUGUGAAGUGAUUAGAGGGUGCACAAGUGGAUUGUAAGAGUUUAAUGGAAUUUGUUUCUCAGCAUUAACUUAGUGGUACCUAUGGCAGCAUCUCUUGGCAGGGCAUAGACAAGGUUUAAACAGAAUCUGUACUUUAGUUAAAUGCCACUAUGAGGAGCCAACGAAGGAUGGGUGGGGGAAUAGAGCCACCUUUAAUGAUUGCAUGUGUAUGAGAACACUAAGGACACCUACAAUUGCACAGAAACUGAGUGCCCCAUGUCACCCAGGGUCCUGCUCUUGGAGUGAGAUGCUGAUCAACCACAACCUACUACACGAUGCAGUACGUACUGAAGGUCACAUUUACCUAGAACAGAGAUUAGGGUCUGAAUUUCAGGUACUCGACAGGGCAGCAGGGAGCUACAGACUGCUGUUUUCCAUUUUGGCAAGUUAAGAAGAAACUGAUCUUCCAAUGUCUUAAAACAUCUCUAAUUUCAGGAGCCACCUGCUUUUUUGUUUUAAAUAAAAGUUUAAUUGUUCA